AGAGUUUGAUCAUGGCUCAGAGCGAACGCUAGCGGCGGGCCUAACACAUGCAAGUCGAGCGGGGAGCAAUCCCAGCGGCGAACGGGUGAGUAACACGUAGGUAAUGUGCCUCAAGGUGGGGAAUAACACCGGGAAACCGGUGCUAAUACCGCAUAUGUCGGGAGAUGAAAGCAGCAAUGCGCCAUGAGAGCAGCCUGCGUCCGAUUAUUUAUUCCUAGUUGGUGAGGUAAUGGCUCACCAAGGGUACGAUCGGUAGCUGGUCUGAGAGGAUGAUCAGCCACACUGGAACUGAGACACGGUCCAGACUCCUACGGGAGGCAGCAGUGGGGAAUAUUGCGCAAUGGGCGAAAGCCUGACGCAGCCACGCCGCGUGAGUGAUGAAGGCCUUCGGGUUGUAAAGCUCUGUCGGGAGGGAAGAAGGGGAAACCCUGACGGUACCUCGCAAGAAAGCACCGGCUAACUCUGUGCCAGCAGCCGCGGUAAUACAGAGGGUGCAAGCGUUGCUCGGAUUUACUGGGCGUAAAGCGUACGCAGACGGUUUGGUA
rnacentral:rRNA from 1 species